rnacentral:rRNA from 1 species
UACGAAGGGUGCUAGCGUUGUUUGGAAUUACUGGGCGUAAAGCGCGCGUAGGCGGUCCUGCAAGUCGGGGGUGAAAGCCCGAGGCUCAACCUCGGAACUGCCUUCGAUACUGCGGGUCUCGAGUCCGGGAGAGGUGAGUGGAAUUCCUAGUGUAGAGGUGAAAUUCGUAGAUAUUAGGAAGAACACCAGUGGCGAAGGCGGCUCACUGGCCCGGUACUGACGCUGAGGCGCGAAAGCGUGGGGAGCAAACAGG